ACAGAGGGGGCAAGCGUUGUUCGGAAUUACUGGGCGUAAAGGGCGCGUAGGCGGCCUGCUAAGUCGAACGUGAAAGCCCGGAGCUCAACUCCGGGUCUGCCGUGCCGACUGUCAAACUCGAGGGCUGUAGAGGCAGACGGAAUUCCGGGUGUAGCGGUGGAAUGCGUAGAGAUCCGGAGGAAGACCGGUGGCGAAGGCGGUCUGCUGGGCAGUUUCUGACACUGAGGCGCGACAGCGUGGGGAGCAAACAGGA
rnacentral:rRNA from 1 species